GUAGCAUAUUACAUGAUUUUGAAAAUCAUAAUAGACGAUUGCUCCCGUCAUGUUACU
rnacentral:tRNA from 1 species